GUGCUCACUUCCCCAGCACAUAUACUAAAAUUGGAACAAUACAGAGAAGAUUAGCAUGGCCCAUGUGUAAGGAUGAUAUGAAACAUUGAGAAAAGCUUCUCAAGAGA
ensembl:snRNA U6 U6 spliceosomal RNA